UAAAAUAAUUAAGGGCACACAGGGAAUGCCUAGGUAGUAAGAGCCGAUGAAGGACGUGGUAAGCUGCGAUAAGCUUGGGUUAGCUGCAAACGAGCGCCAACCCCAAGAUUUCCGAAUGGAGCAAUCUGCUAAGAUGGAGUCUUAGCACGAAAGAGGGUACCGAGUGAACUGAAACAUCUAAGUAACUCGAGGAAAAGAAAGUAAAAACGAUUCCCCAAGUAGCGGCGAGCGAACGGGGAUGAGCCUAAACCAUAUAAGUGUCAAGGAUACAGCCGUUGCUUAUAUGGGGUUGUGGGAAGAACGUUUGAAGAACUGUAAGAUAUUCAACAUAUCUAAUGACCGAACUGGAACUAGUUGGAAAGCUAGAUCGUAGAAGGUGAUAAUCCUGUACAGGUAAACUCAUUAGAAUGUAUGUUCUCUCCCAAGUAACAUGGAACACGAGGAAUUCUGUGUGAAUCUGCGAGGACCAUAUCUCGUAAGGCUAAAUACUCUUACUAACCGAUAGCGUAUAGUACCGUGAGGGAAAGGUGAAAAGAACCCCGGGAGGGGAGUGAAAUAGAACCUGAAACUGUGUGCUUACAAGCGGUCAGAGCUCUUCGGAGUGAUGGCGUGCCUUUUGGAGAAUGAUCCUGCGAGUUACGUUCAGUGGCGAGGUUAAGUAUAACGGAGCCGAAGGGAAACCGAGUCUGAACAGGGCGACAUAGUCGCUGGGCGUAGACGCGAAACCUGGUGAUCUAAGCCUGUCCAGGGUGAAGCUGUGGUAAGACACAGUGGAGGCCCGAACUCACCGCCGUUGAAAAGUUGGGAGAUGAGGUAGGUUUAGGGGUGAAAAGCCAAUCGAACUAGGAGAUAGCUCGUUCUCUCCGAAAUGCAUUUAGGUGCAGCCUUGAGUGUUUAAUUAUGGGGGUAGAGCACUGAAUGAACUAGGGGGCAUAUUGCUUACUGAAUUCAAUCAAACUCCGAAUACCAUAAUUCAAAGCUCAGGAGUGAGACUAUGGGAAUUAACUUCCAUUGUCAAAAGGGAAACAACCCAGACCACCAGCUAAGGUCCCUAAUUAUAACUAAGUGGGAAAGGAGGUGGAGAUUCACAAACAACCAGGAGGUUGGCUUAGAAGCAGCCAUACCUUUAAAGAGUGCGUAAUAGCUCACUGGUCGAGAGUCUCUGCGCCGACAAUGUAACGGGGCUAAGUUAUAAACCGAAGCUGUGGAAUUGCGUAAGCAAUUGGUAGGAGAGCGUUCUGUAGGCCGUUGAAGGAGAAGCGUAAGCGACUCUGGAGGUAUCAGAAGUGAGAAUGCAGGAAUAAGUAGCGAGAAAGGGGGCGAGAAUCCCCCUCGCCGGAAGACCAAGGUUUUCAGGGUAAAGCUUGUCUUCCCUGAGUAAGCCGGGACCUAAGCCGAGGCUAAAAUGCGUAGGCGAAUGGAAAACAGAUUAAUAUUUCUGUGCCAGUUAUAUUUUGUGAUGGAGGGACGCAGAAGGGUAUGUGCGCGGGAGAACGGAAGUUCCCGUAAAAGCAUGUAGAGUGGUCUAGUAGGAAAAUCCGCUAGAUUAGACUUGAGGUGUGAUAUAUAGUCGUAAGAUGAAUGCACAAAUCCCACGCUGCCGAGAAAAGCUUCUAACGUUAAGGUAUAACUGCCCGUACCCGAAACCGACACAGGUGGUCAGGAUGAGAAAUCUAAGGCGGACAGGCUAACUCUCGUUAAGGAACUCUGCAAAAUUGCCCCGUAACUUUGGGAGAAGGGGUGCCCCUGAAUGUUAGUAAUUACACAUUAUGAAGCAUUUGGGGGUCGCAGUGAAGAGGCUCAAGCAACUGUUUAACAAAAACACAGGUCUAUGCUAAGCUGUAAGGCGAUGUAUAUGGGCUGACACCUGCCCAGUGCCGGAAGGUUAAGAGGAGGAGUGAGAGCUCCGAAUUGAAGCCCCGGUGAACGGCGGCCGUAACUAUAACGGUCCUAAGGUAGCGAAAUUCCUUGUCGGGUAAGUUCCGACCUGCACGAAUGGUGU
rnacentral:rRNA from 1 species